GGAAGGGGCGAGGCCAGGAAUGGCACCCGACUGCCCCGGCUUUAUAAAGCCCCACACAACAGCCCGGGGAGCUGCAGCGCUGACACUCCAAGAGCCGGCAUGUGUCCUCUGCCCAGGGCGGCCCUCGGCGUGCUCCUCCUCUGCCUGUGCAGCAGGCUGCCAGCAGCCUGGGCCGCCCCGUCUCACCACGUGCCCACCAGGUGCCUCUGCUUGAAGUUCCAAGAGAGGGUGCACCCCAAAGCCAUCGUCAAAUUCCAGGUCACGGAGAAGGGAGCCCACUGCCACCGCCAUGAGAUCAUAUUAACCAUCAAGAUCAAGGGAGGCCAGCAGGAAAUGUGCCUCGACGCGUCCAAGAGGCAAGGGGAGAAAAUCCUCCGGUGCUGGGAGAGGAAGCCGCAGCAGAGCCCCAGGCAGCUGCACCGCUGCAUGAGAGAGCAGCGAGAGGAGGCCAGGCCUAUCCUGUGAGCGCGGCAUCCACAGGCAAGGCCACACGCUGGGCGCCGGGGCCAGGCCUGCCACUGCUUCCCCGCCCCGCCUGGGGCAGGACUUUGACCCACCACUCGUCAGUCGCUACCCCUCUCGCUUGGAAAGCGCCCAGGCUGUCACCCUACACCCCGAGGCGGCUCAAACACACCCUGAAAAGACCCCAGCACCCUCUGGGACUGGACCCCGGGGACAGGAUGGGCUCCUGGCCCGGCUCCCAGCAACUUGCGCAAGGCGAGUCAGCAGGCUGGCCCCAUGCCCCCAGGGAGUGUGGGGAGCUGCUCCCGCAGGGUGGCAGGAGGAAGUAAAGCCCCACCUUGGCUGUGAUUCAGGAGCGAGACGGUUGUGACAGUUUAAGGCUCUUUUCCCAGAAAGAUCAAUCUCAGACUGCCCUUACCUAGGCAGACUCUGGGAGAGUUAAACUGUAACUUGCUUUCCCCACUGGGCCAGCCGGGGCUCCUCCAGCAAACGGCUCAGGGCAGCACCCGUCAGACAAGGUGGAGGAGGUUGGCCUCCUUUCUGGGACCAGCUUUGGAGGGCGCUUCCCCUCUCGGCGCUUCCCCCGGUCUGGAGAGGGGCGUCCUGCAACCCCGGGGAAGCCCAUCGCAGCCGCAGCCUCUCCCCUUCGUUUCCUUUCCUAGCUCGGAGGGAAGAGCUUUGGGAAACUCCCAGCGUGUCCCCUCCUGCGCCACCAGGGCCUGGCCCAAUAAACCUUCCCUCGCUGUGUCGGGUGGGUGGCAUCUCUGCUCUAGGUGCGUGGGGAGGCCGCUGUGUUCUCAGUGGAAAACAUCCCUGCCCGGGAGGCCGCUGAGGCCUCUAGCCCGUGCCAGGGCGGCGUUGCCAGCGCUGCGGAGACUGAGCGGACACCGGAGCUGGCAGAGCGGGAGGGGGGAGUGGUCUGGGCGCUGCCCCCGGACAGAGAGCCAGGCCCUGCAGGCUAACGAGGUGCCCAGGGCAGAGGGCAAUGCCGGCCGCAGGGAAGGCACCAGGCGAGGGGGGUCUCUUUCUCAGCCUCCCUCUCUCAGGCCCGUGCCCGGUUUGGGCAAAUAAAUCACGCUGGG